AUUACAUGACAGACAAUUUUCCAGUCUAUGGAAAAAGAAAAACAAAAAAUGAACAUUCCCUGUCCUCAAGAAGUUAGCAUUCUGUCAGAAAUGACUAUAAUGGUGUAUUGAAAAUAUAUACUACAUAUAUUACAAGAUAAUUUUUUAACAGAGACAACUGGUCUCAGAGCAAUCAAAAUGAGCUUACGUAGGAGGUGACAUUUAUAUGAGCUUUGAAGGGAACUAAUAAUUUUAAGGGAUAGAGAGGAGGCAGAAUUACAUUCCAGGCAUGGUGCCUCAUGUGUCUCAGCACAGAAUCAGGGUUUGGCAUUUCACAUGUGUAAAAUAUCAAGGAGGACAGUUUGACUAAACUAAAGAGUAAGUGAAAGAAAAUCAUAUAUCAUGAGACUUUAAAGAUAGAUUGGAGUCAGAUUGUAAAGGGCUUUGAAAUUACCAAGAGAAGAAUUUGUAUUUAAUCCUAGGGAUAAUAGAGAGAUACCAGAGUUUAUUGUUCAAGGUUUGAUAUGGACAGAAUUAUGCUUAGGAAUGUCACUUUGUUAUACAUAUGGAGGUAGGUUGAGAGAAAAAGAAGAAGUAUGGCUACCAAUUAGAGGAAUACUAUAAUAGUACAGCCUUGAGACAGGUAACAGGGGAUUUGAAUUAGUAUAAAUAGUAUAAAUGAAAAAAAAGUAGAUGAUGGGAGAGAUUUGAUAUCUUGGCAUUAUCUACAAGAGUUGGUAACUGAUUAGAUAUAUGAUUGAAGAAGAAUGAGGAUUUGAAGAUUACUCCAAAAAUAGUGCACUUAGGACUCAGAUUUUGGGGAAAAGAUAUUGAAUUCUAUUUUAUAUAUGUUGAUUUUGAGAUGUUCACAAGAUAUUCAAUUCAAAAAAAUUUUAAAGGCAUCUGGUGAUACAGGGGUGAAAUUCUGAAGAGAGGCUAUAAAACCUGAUGUACAGAUGUAAUGUUCUCAGUUCAGUUUUCUGGGAGUCUCUGGGAGCAGCCUUCAUUUCAGUUCAGUAAUCACCACAAGAACAGCUAGGUGUUAAAGUCCAAAUCCUUUAUUAUAUCUUUCAAAGUCUUGUCUCCUUUCCUGGGCCUGGUUAGCUUUCUUAAAGGCCUUCUAGAGUCUUGGUUUCAGUGGAGGAAUGAAGGAGGAGAGCCUGCCACCAGUAUGGUGUGAGAUAGGAUGAAUGAAUCUGAGUCCAAGGGCUUGUGCUUCAGCCUCCAGUCUGCUUGUCUUCUCUAGUUCUCUCUGAAUGAACCUGGUUGAGGUUCCUAGCUCAUAUGCUUUACACUGAGUAUAAACCAAUCAUUAUAUCACUAGGAAACCAUUAUUUGUUGUAAGAGUAAAUCACUCCUACUGAACUUAGAGAACUAUUAAGCACCAUGCUAAACUAGAUAACCAUUGUCUCAUCAAUUCCAUUUAGUUAGUACCUUGUAAGAAUUCUUGUUUCAAGUUCAGAGUUCUGGCCCAUAACAUCUCCUGCUUUCUUUUAUUUUAGAACAUAAGGUGGUACCUCUCCCUGACUUCUCAAGGAGGUGAGAACCCAAAAAAAGGAGGUGACCACACUUUCCUGACACCUCAAAAAAGGAGUGAAAACACCAAAAAAAAGAAGUGCUCCCACCCUCCCUAACAUCUCAGGAAGAGAGAUGAAAACACCAAAGGAAAUGGGGAAUCAAAUCAGAUUAGCAGGUUUCUGAAGGGUCUCAUUUGAAGCAGGCAUACAUAAAUCCAUCAGUAUGGGAGGUGUUAUACAUAAUUAUAUAAAUUACAUAAGCAUAUAGCAAAAUAACCCAGGCUAGUAGUGAUGUAACAAAUAACAUGAGUCAACAUGAGCAAUUAUACAUGUCCAUAAAUUCUAGAAAUAGUCCAAAACCAAUCUAUUGUCCAUUACUUCAUGAUUAGGGAAUCCAAAAUAAUUCCUGCAGAUUCUGAAGCCCUGUAUCAGUCUUAUCAUGUCUCAGAGAAUCCAAUAAUUCCUGCUGGUUCUGAAGUUCUGCAACAGUCUUAUCAAUAAUUUUUCAUCUCAGGGAAUCCAAUGAUUUCUUCUGGUUUUGAAGUUCUGUGACAGUCUCAUUAUCAGACAUGUUCUUUCAGUGUCAGAUGUUUCUUAGAUCUUUUCCUUUGUUCCUAGGUUUUUCCCCUUUUUUCUGUCUCUCUCCAAUGGACAAGGUGAAUACAGCUCUUUUGCACCCAUCUGAUUCCUUCUCCAUCUGUAGAGAUACAAGCAAACCCUCUUUUCCAAGCAGUUAACCUAUCUGGUCCCUUCCAUUUACCACUUUCUGGAUCUUUCCACAUUACCUGGCAAUUAUCUAAAGAUAGUAUAGCUGCUCGCACUGGAUACUCACCUUCUGGUGAGUUAUAAAACCUGUCUGUCGGAGCCAGUGCAUCUUUAUCAAAAAUUUAAAAAUUAAUGUUAUGGAGAGCUAAAUUUAGAAGUUCUCUAGGGUUACUUGUGGCUCCCACAUUCUUUUGUUUUUGGAGGAGUGUCUUAAUGUCUCUGUUUCUCCUCUCUACUAUUGCUUGUCCUUGAGGAUUAAAAGGUAUGCCAGUGGUUUGUAAAAUCUGAUACUGUGCACAAAAGUGUUCAAAAUGUUUAGAAGUAUAUGCAGGUCCUAUUGCUUGUGGCACACCCAUAAUUACAAAAGCUUGUAUAAGGAAGUCAGUGACCAUUUGGGCUGUCUCUUUGGCUGCUGAUAUUAUAAAAGUAAAUCCUGAAAUGGUGUCAUGGGGUAGAAGAUAAGAAGAUUACAAGAAGAACCAGAUCUGUUCGUGAGAAGGAUACUUCCAGAAUUAAAGAAGAAGAGCUUCUAUAAGACAUUUUUAGUUGUGGUAAUUAAAUGGGCCAAAAUACAUUAAAGGGCCAAGUCAGGUGACUGAUGAGAGACUUAAAUGCCUCUUCUAAUCUCCAAGCAGCCACUCUUAGGUGGCUCCCGUGUAUUUCAGCAGUUCUCUCUUGUAUUCCAACAUGUAAAUUUAUCAAUCAUAUUCAUUGAUAAGACAACUGGAUCCAUUGAAGCUUUUAUGUUUGUUGAAAAAGAGUAUAGCACAAGAAAAGAAAGUUAAAAUGGGAAAAUUUGGCACAACAUUUCCAUUAGAGAGUAGGAUGGAAAACACAUUAGGGUGCAGUAGAACCAAGAGAGAAAAUAAUUGGGGGAGAGAGAGAGAGAGAGAGAGAGAGAGAGAGAGAGAGAGAGAGAGAGAGAGAGAGAGAGAAACAGACCAUCCUGGUGGAAUGAAUAGACAGCAAUGUCAAACAGGUCAAGAAUACUGUAAAAGGGCCAAGAAUGUAAGAACUGAGAAAUGAAAAAUAAGAUUUGGUGAUUAAAAGUAUUUUGGUAACUUUGGAGAAAGUAGUUUUAUUUUAGUUAUGAGGUAGAAAAUGAUUUUAAAAGGAGUUGAUAAAUAAAGGUGAAAAGUAAGGCAAUGUGGGAAGGUUUCUUGAAAGGAAUGAAAUACUAAUGUAUCUUAUAACACAAUAGAUAAGAAUUGGCGUAAGCAGUAAGCAUGCAUACAUUUGGAGGUUUAAGAGUAUUUCAUGAAGGGUUGAAAAAAUUAGUAUAGGGCAGAGUAUAGCAAUGUUCCUCAUGUUUUGUAUGAUAUAUAGUUUCAUUAGUCUAUUGAAAGCUAUUGCAAAAAUUAGGAUAAAUCUAGAUGUGUUUAAUGAAGAUUUCAUGAUCCCAAUAUUAUUCCAGAAAAAUAAAGAUAAAUGGAGUUGCCAAAAUCUAUAUGUACCUAAUAGCUUUCAGUUAAAAUGGAAGGUAUCUGCUUUAACAUGAUGUCCUAAGUCAAAGUUGGAGGUUUCCUUUAUUUUGACAGCUAUGUUAUAGAUGAGCUUUUCAAACAAGACAUCAUUUGAGAUGUCAAUAUUUGUAGGGCUAAUGAUUCAUAUUUUAAAAAAAUUAAUUAAAUGCAAUAGAUUUAGUAAAUAUUUUUGCAGCAAAAUGCUUAGUUCUUAAAAUGAACUGUUAUCAGCAGAAAUAUUUUUUUCUCUUCGUACAUUCAUUUCUUCCUUUCUCACUGACAUGCUGGAUUUGUUGCAAUUAAAAUAGCUUUGCAUUAAUAGAUUUGUCAAAACCAAGGUGAUCAGAGAGAAAUUACAUUCAAUAGAUAGACAUUUUGGAGCCCAUAUACAUAUUCAGUUAGACAUUUUUAGAUAAAAAUAAAAUCAUAAACCUAAUAAAACACUCAUGGUUAACAUGAGAUACACACUGACCAAAAUUUCAGAAAACUUCUACUGUUAUUUUUGUCAGUCAGUGGCAAGAAGUCAUUCCUUACUUUCAUUCAUUUUGCUUUCUUUAUACAAUUCCCUUCUUUAUCCCCAUAUUUUUAUUGUCUCCCUGCAAACCUCUCUUCUAAUCAGAAAACAUAAACAUUGUUCUUCCCAGAGGCAUUCGUUUUCCCACUCAAAGUGGACCCAUUAGUGUUGUGCCUUUCAGUGAAUGUUGUCUGAGUUGUACACAUUUAAACUACUUAUCUUAUUUCCUAUAAAUCACUAUCUUCAGGCUUAGUUAUUUGUUCUCCAAACCAUGUAUUCGUAGUCUUGACUAAAGUAAUUCUACAUUUAAAUCUCAGACAACAUAAAGUGAUUUGGGAGAAGAUCAGAUGUUUCUUUUCCUUUCUUGAAAUCUAGGCUUUAAGAAAAGAAGUUAGAAUUUUGUCUGAGUUUAGAAGGUAUAUUCAAAAGAAUACUAGCACUAUUUAAAACUAUGCUUUUCUUUCUUUAUUUUUUAUAUUAAAGAUAAAAAACAACAAAAGUAAAACAUAUAGAUCACUCUGUCUUCUCCCUCCCUAUUCCAUGACCCUCAAAGUCGACUAUAAUUAAGUAUCUUAAGAUAAUUGGAAUUAGAAAAAGAGAAUACAACUUAGUAUUAGCAUAAUAGUCUCCAGAUGAGGAAACUAGAACCAAAAGACAAUAAUGAAAUUUUACUUAAGGUUAUGCAAUCAGAUAGUGACAGAACUGGAAUCAAUAGACCCAAGGUUUCUAUGUAUAGCAUUUUUUUAUGCUAUACUAUGUAGUCUUCAACUUUGGCACUUAGAUUUGUAAUUAACUCAGAGCUUUUGCCCAUAAAAAAACCACUGCAUCCUUGAUUUGUAUACCAGACUGUUAUAUUUUCUGUGGUGUUGCACACAGUUUUGCUGGUUGUUGAUAAAUGUGAUUAAGAAUAUCUCUAAAGCAUAUCUUCUAUCUUCCCCUAAAAUAUACUUCAUUUUAGCUAGCUAGGAUUUAUAUAAUAUCUUAAGGUUUACAAAGAAAUUUUUAAUUUUCAGCUAAUUUUAUCCACAAAGCAACUUUGGGAAGUAGGUGCUAUAAUUAUUACAGAUGAUGAAAUCAAGGCAGAAAAAUGUUAUUAUUAUAUAUCCAUGGUCACACAGCUAAUAAGCUCCUUUUAUGAGUUUAUAGGAAAUAUUAAAUACAAAUAUGCUAAAUAAUGCCAUUAGAAAUGUAGUGUUAAAAUUGUAGGAACAUAGAUUUAGAGCUGAAGGAAUCCUAGAGGUUACCAAAUCCAACGCUUUUAUUUUACAGAUGAGGAAUUUUAAGUUACUACCAGUGAAUGUUAAAUGACAGGAUUUUAAUUAAGGUCUUCUUGAUGCCAAAUGAAUUUUAACCCAACUCUUCCAAACUUCAGGCCUACUUUACCCCCAAGUGCCUUCAUCUUUUUAGUGUUCAUCUCAGUUGGGAAGGAGAUGGAGGAUACCAAAUGUUCACCUAUAUUUUGUCUAUGAAGAAUGGUGUAGUGUAAGAGGUGAUAACCCAGAAUCAGGAAACUGAAAAUAAAUUUCAGUGUCUCUAGUUAUUUUAUGUAUAAAUAUGAGCAAGUUAACUACUGGCUUUAUAGUCUACAGACUUGGUUACACAGAAGAAUGUUCUUCAUGAUCCCAAUCAGGAAAGACAGUUCCUAGAUGGCCACAUUUUCUCUGUCUCCCUCUCCUUCCUUCCUUCUCUCUCUCUCCCUCCCUUCUUCCUUCUCUCUUUCUCUACCUUCCUCAUUUUCUCUCUCUCUCCUUCCCUCCCCUUCUCUCUGUCUUUGUCACUCUGUUUCUGUGUGUAUGUGUGCGUGCAUACGUGCGUGCGUGUGUGUGUGUGUGUGUGUGUGUGUGUAGUCUCUAUCUCUGUCUCUGUCUCUUUCUGUCUCUCUCUAUCCCACUCUUUCUCACUUUCAUUUUUUCUCUCUGUCUCUCAGUCUAGGUCCCUCUGUAUUUGUCUCUAUAGAUAUGCAUAUAUUUGUACAUGUAUCUACAUAUAUAUAUAUAUGUAUUGUACAUAUAUGUAUUUUUAUUUACCUAUAUGUUUAGUCUGGUAAUUCUACCUAAGUACACUAAUAUCACUAAACUGUGCCUACCUUUGAUUUAAUGAUACUGCUAUUAGGUAUAUUUCCCCUUCCAAAAAAAAGAGAGAAAAGAUCCAUAUUACAAAAAUAUUCAGAGCAGUAAUUAUUUUUGCCACAUAGCAUAAGAAUUAAUUUGGUACCUCUCUAUAAUUUGAAGAAUAGACAAACAAAUUAUGAUAUAAUAUUAUUGCAUUAUAAAAAUCAUGAAAGAAAUAAAUUCACAGAAAUCUGAGAAGACCUGUAUGAACAUAUAUGGUAAGAUAAGCAUAGCUGCAAAUAAAAUUAUAGAGGGGAUACAAUAUUGGGAACUGAAACAAAUUUGAAAUUUUUAAGAAUUAUAUUUAAAGCAAUAAUAUUCAAGACUCCAGAGGAUCAGUGAUGAAGCAAGUUUUCCAUGAGGAACAGAAUGAGACCAAAGCAUGGAUUUGUUUUACUUGACUAUGCUAAUUUAUUACAAUAAUAGGAUUUUAUUUAUUUUGUGGUGAUGGUUGUAGUAGUGGUGGGAAUUUAAGAGAGGAGAGAACUAGUGAGCUAAUAAAAAUGACCAAAAAGGAAAAAAAUAUAUCAAUGAAAUAUUUAAAGAAAAUAUAUCAAAGAAAACAGAAGGUGGUUCAGAGUGCAACAUAAUUAUGAACAAUGACUUUGGAACUAAUGUGCUGAAUUAUGACAUAAAAAAAUAGCCUUUAUAUAAAACAAAGUGUUUUCAUAUCAAAUUCUCCUUUUCAGUUCUUCUUUAAAUGUGAAAAUUUAUUUAUUUUAACAUUUAUUUUAAAUUAUAAAUUGAAUAUAAAAUAUAUAAUGAUGAUUAAUAAUAAUUUUCAAAAAUAUUCAUUGUCUUCUAGGAGAAUAUAGAAAACAUUAAUAACAAGUACACCAAACACUGCCAUUAGAAAUCUAGUAUUAAAAUUGUAGGAAUAUAUAUUUAGAGCUGGAAGGAAUCCUAGAAGUCACCAAAUCUAGCUCUUUUAUUUUACAGAUGAGGAAACUGAGGCUCAGGAAUUUUAAGUGACUUCCAGUGAUUAUUAAAAGGCAGAAUUUUAGCUCAGAUCUCUUUGACUCCAAAUCCAACACCUUAAUUCUUUCAUAUAAGUAAACUUAUUUCCUUUCAUCCAAGACCAAUGUUAUCUAUUAUUUAAUAUUUUAUGUAGUCAAUUAAAAUAGAUAGAAUGUUAUGAUAUUCUAUGCUUCCUUUAUUAUAUAUUUCAUUUAUAAAAAAGUAUGCUGUCAAAAGCUAUAUUAAAGUUCAUGUCAAUGUAAUAGACAAUGUAGAAGAGCACUAGAUUUAGAAUCAAAAAAUAUUUUUAAUCCCUAAUUCUACUGUUAACUACACAGCACACACACACACACACACACACAUUUCUACAUAAUAUACAUAAGCAUAUGUAUUUAUAAACAUGUUUUAUACAUACAUAUAUACAAACAUACACAAAUAUAAUACUCAUUGUAUACAUCUAUGUAUGUAUAUAUACAUGUGUGUAUUUAUACACAUAUAGGUUUUCUUGGGCAAGUUACCUAGUUAUCUUAUCUCUGUGGGGAUCUUGUUGGCUGUUAACUGAGAAAGUUGGGCUAAAACAUCUCUAAAUUAUCUUUUAUUUCUAAAUUGAUGCUGCUAUGUACUUAUCUGGAAUUCAGAAUUAUUCUGAGUUGCCAUCCAUGGAGAAGAGACUUGACACAGUAAUUAGCACAUUCACAUUUCUAUUUUAUUCAUAAAAUAGCAAUAACAUAAACAGCUGGCAUUAUAUAUAGUAUGUAUAUAUGUAUGUAUAUACAUAUAUAUAGUCCCAUAUGUAUAGGACUUUACUAUAUAUACUCGUUAUAGUGUUUAAGGAUUGUAGGGCAUUUUAUAGUUUAUAUCAUUUACUCAUAUAUUGAUUCUGUUACAUAGAUAUUAUGGUACUAGUAUUCUAGUUUUACAGAUGAGAAAACAGUCUCAAAAAGGUAAAGUAAUUGCUUAGGAUUGUAUAUCUAGAAAAUAAUCAGAAGAAAGAUUCAAACUCAGAGUCCAAUACUCUUCCCAUUGAUUUGCCAAGGUUUAUAAAAUGGCAUUAUGGGUAUCUGUGGCAUUUCUUUAUUAUUUCACAUGUUAGAGUCACAGGAUCCCAGAAGUGGAAAAGAUCUUAGAGAUUAUAUAAUCCAAUCUUCUUUAUUUUAAAAAUGAGAAAAUGAGACAUAGAAGAGGGAAAUGACUUUUCUAAGUUCACACAACCAGUUCUUACUAUAGUAAUGACUAGGAUUUAGCCAGGUAUCCUGGCUCUCAGAGCAGUAAUCUUCCUAUUUUAUUGCAGCAUGGUUAUAUUAUAAUGAUGUAAUGCUACAUCAUUAUAAAUACCUAGGAGAAAUUUAUAUUCCCUUCAUUUCCUAUAGAAUAGAGGUUUGUUCUGAUUAGGACUAACCAAAUUUGCUGUUAUUAAUAAACUUGUCACAGAUUAUUGAUAUUUAAAAAACAUUCACACUUUUAAUCUAUGAUAAAAAAAAAACAAAACAUACCCAAGAAACCACAACAUAAUAAUUGUAUGAGAAUUCUGUUCUCACCAGAUAAAAUCUCAUUUAUUAAAAAUGUAGGGGAUUGUAGGGAAAGUAAAGUUUCCAAAUCACCAUAUUUGGACUAACUGGAAUUUUAUUCAAAACAAAAACAGCUCCACUAUACUAUUGGGAUAACGAUUGGUUUGAAUAAUAUGCCAUUUUGAAUGCAAAGAUAUUAACUUAAUGAGGUCUUACUGUAUUGAUAUUAAUUUCUGAGUGUAUAAUGAACUGCUUAGCUGUCUAUAGUCUGCAUUUUGGCAUCAGAUAAAAAUUUGAAAUGAAUGAGUUAUAGCUUCAAUAUUGUACUAUGGCAUUUGAAUUUAACUUGCUUGUGAGUACUGAUACUCUGUUCUAUCAUCUGUGAAAAAAACAUAAAUCAAAAAAAUAUAUCAAGGAAGGAUGAAGUUGUGUGCUUACUGGCACAAAUCACCUGUAUUAAACUGUCAUCAUUGUUUUCACUUAAAUUUAUUGGCUGAUAAGCUUAACAAUAUGCCUAAAAUUAUACAUUAGUCAAAAGCAGUAAAUGUUUACUGAUUUGUCAGUUUCAAAUACACAAAUUACGUACCUUUUAUUAUUAAAGAAAUGUCAUUACUUUUUGUCCUGAAUAUUUUUCCGUUAACAUUUAACUUUGAAGAUGAAAAAUUAUGGAUAUUUUAUUACAUUGAAAGAAUACCUAUAUUAAUUUGAAAAUCAGUUGUUAGAAUAUUGAAUAAGGACCAUUUCCUUCCCCCUUAAUUUUACCUAUGAAUUUAGCUUCAUAGAGAUUGCUUUAAGCUAAGGUAAAAUUACUGACAUUUGAUAUCCUCUCCAAUCUGCAUACAAUCAACUUUCCUAGACUUAUUUUGAACCUUUUGUUAUUUCUCUGACCAGUCUGGAUAAUAAGCUCUCAAUACCAAUGAGCUCUCAUCCCCUUAGACAUCAUACAUUUAUCUAGAUGAUUCCCUAUACCUGGAAUGCAAUCUAAUCUAUAUGUACUUGUUGUAAUUCUUCCUAAAUUUCUAGGCCAGCUCAUGUGUUACCUUUUCCAUGAAAUAUUUCCUGACCUCUUUCAGAUAAAAGUCAUUGUCCCCCUUUUGUUUUAUAAUGCUUUCAGUUUCUUCUUAGCUCUUUCAAAUUCUGCCUUAUAUUAUCAUGAUAAAAGUAAAUAAUUUGUAUAAUAUCAUAAUGUAUAAUAAAUAUUGUUUAUUUAAGUGGAUAUUAUAUCUUUUAUUAGAUUAUAAAUUUUUGCAGGUAAAAUUAUAUCAAAAUUCAACUUUAUAUCAUUAGUUCAACAUUCAACAUUCAACAUCCAAAGAUAAUGGGUAAUGUGAGUCUUAAACAAUAUUUGUUGAUCUAUUAAGUACUGCUUCUCAUUUAUCAAAUACACUUAGCAUGUUUAUUUUCUUUCUUUUUUUUUCUUUUUUUUUUUUGAGGCAAUUGGUGUUAAGGGACUUGCCUAGGUCACACAGCUAGGAAGUGUUAAGUAUCUGAGGCCAGCUUUGAACUCAGGUACUCCUGAACUCAGGGCUGGUGCUCUAUUCACUGCACCAUCUAGCUGUCCCCAGCAUGAUUAUUUUCUUGUGCAAAUAACCUGGAAUAUUUUGAUAAGCAUGUUAGAUGAUGUCAAAACAUUACAACAAAAAGUCCUUAAUCUCAUUUUAAAAGCAAAUUUUAUGCCCUUAGAGAUUGCAAGUUAUAAUGAAAGUAAUGCUGAGUUUACAGGCAAAAUACUUGAAUUUAAGUCUUGGCUUUAUAUAUUGUCUCUAACUCUACACCCAUGGAGAGUUUAAGUAAACUCUAUAAAUCAAUAUUGCCAUAUUUAUAAAAUGGAGAUAAUAACAUUUGAACUUUGUUUCAUAGGACAUUUUGUACAUUGUCAUUUUAUUGGGCAGUUCAGUAGUGCAGUGGACAGAGUGCCAGGUCUGGAGUCAGGAAAACCUGUCUUUCUCAAUUAAAAUCUGACCUCAGACAGUUUACUAACUGUGUGAGCCUGGACAAGUCUUUUAACCCUGUUUGCUGAGUGAAAUGAGCUGGAGAAGGAAAUGGCAAGCCAUUCUAGUGUCUUUGGAGGGGGGGAAAACUCAUAAAAGGGAACAUGACUGAAAAAUGAAACAUUAUAUAUAACUUUUCUUUGUGUAUAGAAAUGGCAAGUAAAUCACAUCCAUAAUUUGUGCUUUGUCCUGAUUAUCUUCAUUAUUCAUAACUUUGCUACCUCUAAGAGCUGACUAAAUUGCCACAUUAGAUAAAUGUUUGACUACCACCUUUUGACAAGUGUUACACCCCUAUGGAUUACUCUCACCUGGUAGCUCCUCUUUGAGCUACUCUUAAUGCCCGUCAGUCAACGGCCCGGCUAGGCCACAUUUACCCAUCUUCAGGCACCAACCCAGAUCCCACAGAGACUGACUGACCAGAAGUUAAUGUUUUAUUUUAAAGUAAAUUGGAUUAGAUAGUGUCUGCAAUCAUGACAAUUGUUCUUGGGACCCUGGAGCAUCACUUAUAGAAAAAACAACAAUAACAUCAAAGCAAAUGAAUGAGGAAUGAGGAAUUCACCAUCCAUUGUCAUCCUGUUCUUCAAG
rnacentral:lncRNA from 1 species